rnacentral:rRNA from 1 species
UACGUAGGCAGCAAGCGUUGUUCGGAGUUACUGGGCGUAAAGGGUGCGUAGGCGGCUUUUUAAGUUUGGUGUGAAAUCUCCCGGCUCAACUGGGAGGGUGGUCGCGAGACGGCGGGGCUUGAGGCUCGGUGAGGGGCGUGGAAUUCCGGGUGGAGCGGUGAAAUGCGUAGAGAUCCGGAGGAACACCGACGGCGUAGGCAGCGCCCUAGACGAGACCUGACGCUCAGGCACGAAAGCGCGGGGAGCGAACAGG